CCCUUAGAUGUCCUGGGCCGCACGCGCGUUACACUGAUGCAUUCAACGAGCUUAUAACCUUGGCCGAGAGGCCUGGGCAAUCUUGUUUACGUGCAUCGUGAUAGGGAUAGAUUAUUGAAAUUAUUAAUCUUGAACGAGGAAUUCCUAGUAAACGCAGAUCAUCAAUCUGCAUUGAUUACGUCCCUGCCCUUUGUACACACCGCCCGUCGCACCUACCGAUUGGAUGGUCCGGUGAAGCCUCGGGAUUGUGGUUCUUGCCGCUUUAUUGUGGCGUGACCGCGAGAACUUGUCUAAACCUUAUCAUCUAGAGGAAGGUGAAGUCGUAACA
rnacentral:rRNA from 1 species